AGUGAACGCUAGCUACAGGCUUAACACAUGCAAGUCGAGGGGUAACGAGAGGAAAGCUUGCUUUCCUUGUCGACGACCGGCGCACGGGUGAGUAAUGCGUAUCCAACCUGCCCCCAACUAGGGAAUAACCUUGCGAAAGUAAGACUAAUACCCUAUAAUUUCCUCAGAUGCCAUCUGACGAGGAAUAAAGAUUUAUCGGUUGUGGAUGGGGAUGCGUCUGAUUAGCUUGUUGGCGGGGUAACGGCCCACCAAGGCAACGAUCAGUAGGGGUUCUGAGAGGAAGGUCCCCCACAUUGGAACUGAGACACGGUCCAAACUCCUACGGGAGGCAGCAGUGAGGAAUAUUGGUCAAUGGGCGGAAGCCUGAACCAGCCAAGUAGCGUGCAGGAUGACGGCCCUAUGGGUUGUAAACUGCUUUUAUACAGGAAUAAAGUUAGCCACGUGUGGUCAUUUGUAGGUACUGUAUGAAUAAGGACCGGCUAAUUCCGUGCCAGCAGCCGCAGUAA
rnacentral:rRNA from 1 species